ACAGGUGGGGCAUGGGGGUUGUCAGCUUGGGUUGUGAAAUGUUGGGUUAAAUCCCGCAAAGAGGGCAACCC
rnacentral:rRNA from 1 species